rnacentral:rRNA from 1 species
UACGUAGGGUGCAAGCGUUAAUCGGAAUUACUGGGCGUAAAGCGUGCGCAGGCGGUUUUGUAAGUCAGAUGUGAAAUCCCCGGGCUUAACCUGGGAACUGCGUUUGAAACUACAAGGCUAGAGUGUGGCAGAGGGGGUGGAAUUCCACGUGUAGCAGUGAAAUGCGUAGAGAUGUGGAGGAACACCGAUGGCGAAGGCAGCCCCCUGGGUUAACAUGACGCUCGAG